rnacentral:SRP_RNA from 22 species
CGUGCUAGAUGGGGAGUUAGCGGUGCCCUGUAACCUGCAAUCCGCUAUAGCAGGGUUGAAUUCCUGGCUUAGACUUUAAAAUGUGAGGCCUGCCCCAUAAAAGUGGCGUUGAGAGCUUGGUCCCACGCAACAAGAACUCAUGAACCCCGUCAGGUCCGGAAGGAAGCAGCGGUAAGUGAAUAUUUUUGUGUGCCGUGGAUAAACCUGGUUUGAGUUAACUAUAUGGGUAACGCU